rnacentral:lncRNA from 1 species
AAGAACUCCUGAUGGCUGAGAGCCCAGGCAAGUCUGGGAAAGGAAGGUGAGCGGACAGGUUCUCGCUCUGUGAGCCAGGCUGGAGUGCAGUGGCAUGAUCACAGCUCACUACAGCCCAAACUCCUGGGUUCAAGCAAACCUCCUGCCUCAGCCUCCCAAGUAUUAAAUAUUCAGCCCAUGCCAGAGUGAGGAUCUCCUUUUCACCUUCUGUCUGAAUUGUGCCUUGAAUCUGUUUCGCGAUGGGUGCGAACUGGGUGAGACACUUGUCUUAGAACCGCAGCCCUGGCAACUCCACGCCGCCUGACCUCGAGCCGGUUUCCAUAGCCUGAAUCCUUCCUCUCAUUUGCAAACAACUUUCUUAGUAAAUGAUGACAAAGCAGAAUGCAAUCCCUUCUAUAAGAGAUAUGACUCAGAACAAAUUGUAGCCGCGUUUUCC